rnacentral:tRNA from 1 species
UGUCCUAUGGUGUAAUGGUAGCACACCAGAUUUUGGUUCUGUUUGUCUUGGUUCGAGUCCAGGUAGGACAA